rnacentral:rRNA from 1 species
CAGUAGCCGCGGUAAUACAGAGGAUGCAAGCGUUAUCCGGAAUGAUUGGGCGUAAAGGGCGCGUAGGCGGACAGUUCAGUCGGGGGUGAAAGCCCGGGGCUCAACCGGGGAGGGUCAUUGGAAACUGGGAAACUUGAGUGCAGAAGAGGAGAGUGGAAUUCCACGUGUAGCGGUGAAAUGCGUAGAGAUGUGGAGGAACACCAGUGGCGAAGGCGACUCUCUGGUCUGUAACUGACGCUGAGGAGCGAAAGCGUGGGGAGCGAACAGGAUUAGAUACCCCAGUAGUCCCUGUCUCUUAUAC